CACGUAGGGUGCGAGCGUUGUCCGGAAUUAUUGGGCGUAAAGAGCUCGUAGGCGGUGUGUCGCGUCGGCCGUGAAAACCUGCAGCUUAACUGUGGGCUUGCGGUCGAUACGGGCAUCACUGGAGUUCGGCAGGGGAGACUGGAAUUCCUGGUGUAGCGGUGAAAUGCGCAGAUAUCAGGAGGAACACCGGUGGCGAAGGCGGGUCUCUGGGCCGAUACUGACGCUGAUGCGCGAAAGCGUGGGUAGCAAACAGG
rnacentral:rRNA from 1 species